AUUUCCAUUGACUGUGGUUUAAAUAAUUUUGUCCUCAAUGAAGUACACUAUGUACAGUAAAGAUUUUGAUCUUUAAUAUAUUUCCUUCUUCGAGACUCGAUAUGUGAUUUAAAUGAAACUUUUUUUUAGCAGUGUAUUAGCUAAGCAAAGAUAAGUGCUGGGCAGACACAGAAUAGUUAUGGUAGCAUUCAGCCACUAGAGGGGGUUACCACGUCUAUUUGGGAUCAUUCAAGCAAACUGGAAUAUAACAUUUAAAGACAGUCCUGCCAUGGUUCUCAGGAUAGUGGGACAAAAUACUGACUAAAUCCAAAGUUAUACAGUAUCAUAAGAAAAUAUCCUGAAAGUAAUGAACAUCAAACCAGCUAUGUUUGGCGUUUAUUCACAGCAUGUGUUUGAGGUUCUACUAGACUUGCAUAUUUUAUAAAUAUUUCAAUGGAGAUAUGCGAUCAGAUGCUUUUAUGUUACCAGGCUUGGUGGUUAGAACUGUUGUAAAUACAUUUCCAAAAUGCUAUUCGUAAUCGCAUGAUAUCAAAGGAGACUGAUUUUGUGUGAAGGGUGACAACAAAUACAUUUCAGAAUCUCUGCAGCUCUGGAGUGUAUGCCAAGUUUACGUAAUUAUUUUAAGACAUCCCACCUAAACUGUAGACCUACAUUUGUGCACAGGCCAUGUAACAGAUGAGCUUAAGCAGCCUGCUGUAACCUAGUUAACAAAUAAAUUAAAGCACACAGUUUAGCGGAAGGCAAGAUAGCACAUUUUGGAGAAAGAGGCAUAGUGCGUCCUUACAAUAGACUAAUUGUCUUUGUUUUAAAUUACAGAUUACUUAAAAAAAAAAAAAAACAUAGGCUAAACCAUUUAUUUGAUCGGAUGAACUAUAACAAAAGCAUGUAAAAAGUAAACCUUAGGCUAAGUGUCGGAUCCCAUCCGAUCAAAUGGGAUAUAAAGAGCUUUUAAGAUGAGGCUAACAUAUUGGCUUCCACAAUUAUUUUUGAAAUUAUAGUUAUUCAGCGGACAGGUGUUAAGCAUUGGUGAUGAAAGAGUUUACAUUCUGACUUCACAGCGGGCUAAAGCUCUGUGAUUCUCUUGCUUAAAAGUGAUUCACUGAUUGAACAAAUCUUCUACACCAGUGAUUCAGUACACCCAGUUCACUGAAAAGAACAAAUAAUUAAUGAUUCGCACAUCACUACUGACCUGUACUGUAGAGUCUUCUGGAUGGAGGUUUUACUGCUACAGACACAUUCAAGACUCUGAACCAGUAGGUGGUAUAAGGAUCAUCACUUAAUUAACCAUAGACACAUUAAUCCAGUCAUGGCAACACAUCUCAUACUGGGUUAUAUAUCUGUGAGGGUGUAAAGGGAAAGUUCUCCACUAUCACAGAUGCUGUACAAAUCAUAGUAUCUGCUAAGUCUACAGUUCUGAAUCAUGUUAAGUGUUGUUAGGUUACUGAGUAAUUAAACUAUGACAAUUAUAUACAAAUUUGAAUUCUUUAGUCAAAUAGCCACUGGUAGCAGACCGGAAGUCCUAAACCAAAGGCAGUAGAACAAGUUAAAGAAAGUGGGCAUGGUGAAUACAGUUAUUAAAAACCAGUGUUGGCCUGAGAUGCAAUACCUAACCCUUGUGUUUCGUGUGUCCACAUGUUCGGUAGCUUACAAUUUUGUGUUUCUUUGUUCAUCCUCAAGUUCUGAUCUUUUGUGCUUCUUUGCAUAUGAACAGUUAAACAGGUACGGUAGUGUUAGCUGUGGCUCGGAGGGGGCUUUUCUACUGGCCACCACACAGCAUCACCAUCACAAGUUUGUCCCUUAUGAACUCAUCAAGCAUGCAGUUCUGUGGGAGACGGCACGUGUGUAUCACUAGCGGAGCGAAAAUGGUUCCAGCUUGGAAACAACCGAUGACAAGGAUGGCGCAAGCACAUUACUCCACAGCACCAGAGAGGGACUCCACGGCACCAUGUGGAGGACCAUGUUGAAGACUGCGACAAUGGGCAAGAAGGCAGAGCUUGGUGAAGUUUAACGUCUGCACAUGAAGAACAUUUGGAGAAGAUCAAGCAUCUUACUGACGAGUUUGUCCAGCUGAGGGCACAGCUGUGUCCCGCCCUGAUGUGUUUCACCUGUUGUCUUGUCCCCGCCCCCUCGCCAGGUGUUCCCGGUUCCCCAUUGGCCCUGUGUUCUUAGCCCCGGUUCUCGGUUCUGGUAGAUCAUCUUGUGUUGUACAGUCGUUUCCAGCGUUCCAUAUGUCUUAUUACCCACUCUGUCUAUCAUUCUCUUCCCCGGUUGCGACCCUUGUCUGUUUUUCCGGAUUACGAGCCUGCCUGCCCUCCCUUGUACCUUCGACCAUCUGAAUACUGCCUGUCCCCCACUACGAGACCGCAUUUGUCCCUGUUGGUGCAAUAAAUACUGUGACUCGCCCU